AUGGGCGAGUGUGCAAAGAUAGGGCGAGGCUGUACGGCCAUGUACGGAUAUGUACGGACCGGUACGACCCGAGAGAUCACAACUCGUCCAUUUGAGAUGUUUUGAGAUUGUGCAAAGUCCGGGACAAGAUGUGCAAGCUUAGGGCGUGAUCAGAACAUGUCAAGGAGGCUUUGUGCAAUCUUAGGGUGUUGGGAGAAGGCCCUGGUCGUUUGGAAUCAAGAAGGCAUCAAGAAGGCAUCAAGAAGAUGCUUUGUGGAGGCAAACAACCAAUGGGAGCUUCCUUGUGUGUGAUUGGCUAGUUCUGGUCUUGGACAGGCUGUCUCUUGCAGUAAAGAGAAGGGAGCCACGACCAUGAACCUGGACAGAUGCAUGGGAAGAUUAGGAGGAGCCUAAGGAGAGCCAAUCACAAGCAAGGAGCCAGCUUGCCUUGGUUUGAAUUAAAGUGAACAGCCAACCUUAUCCUCACAACUCUUCAGAUAUUACAAGAAGACCAUCUCAUCUACACCAUCCAUUCACUCAAGUUAAUAUUAUCCAUUAGAUUUAGGUUUCAGAUUGUGUAAACCUAUUGAGCUUAUAAAUAAGCAUGUAAAUGGCGAUUUGGAGCCUUAAGGGAGUAAGGGGGAUUUCCCCUCUCCACUUCUUGGAAAUAAGAAAAUGUGUUCUUGAA